GAAGUGCUGUGCCACACGUGUCAAACAUGAUUCGUUCUUUUUAUGUUACGUCAUAGGCAAGCAGCCUAUAUAUCUAGAUCGCUGUCGCUGAAAUAAAACAGUGCGGUACGUGCUCUUGGAUCGUCUCCGUCACUCUGCCACCCGCUAUAACAGUGGCGACGAGGGUGACCACCCCGCGGAGCCCCCGCCACGAACAGCGGCAUCUCGGUAGCGCUGGAAGUCCUGCUGGGUACUGAAAGUAAUCGAGUCUUCGGAGCAUCGGCGGUCAUGGCCCUGGCUACGAACCUCGGUACCCCAAGUUUCGACGAAAAUCAAGAUAAGUGGGAUAUUUACUUGACUCGACUGGAGGCAUUUUUUGAAGCAAAUGAUAUUAAGACAGAUGAUAAGAAAAGAGCGCUCUUGGUUUCGACGCUAUCAACGAAGACGGUAGGCGCUCUUGCUGGACAGUGCGCACCCCAGAAAGUAAACGCCCUGAGUUACAAGGACGCACUUACCAUCCUAAAUAACCACUCUGCGCCGAAGACUAAUGAGGUUGCCGCAAGUUACAAGUUCUUUACAAGGGAUCAGGCUGCAAGCGAAUCUGUCCGGGACUAUGUUGUUGAGCUACGCAAGCUUGCGGAUAGUUGUCACUUCGGCACCAGUUUGGAUCGUAUGUUACGGGACCGCAUUGUGUGUGGCAUCCGAAAUCGGGCGGUGCAGCAGACGCUGCUUGAAAAAACUGAGCUCACACUUGCCCAAGCUGAAACGAUUGCCAUAGCGGCAGAGACAGCCGCACUGGAAGUAAGCGCCAUGACUAGACUUGAUAAUGAGGCAGCGGUGUGCACUGUAGCGAGUAAAUCGCGCCGAUAUCAGACCUUCACCAAAGAUAAGCAAAGCCAUACUGAGUGCGCACGCUGCGGAAACUACGCUCACGAAGCAAGCGACUGUCCGCACAAAAAGGAGCAGUGUUUUCGCUGUCGGAAGACUGGUCAUUUCGCAAGAAAAUGCCGCUCCCAGUCGGAGCUCCGGGCUGGUCGUAGGCGCGAUGGCGUCGCUAACGCAGUCCAUUAUGAGAGCGCUGUAUCCAAAACGGAGGAAGGCGAUAUUUCAUCAGUCUUCACAUUGCAGGAACCACGGGAAAAGAAAUCUUUGCUCCAGGCGUUCCGCAGAGUUAUCCGCUGGGGUGGCGUGCCCUUGAACAUGAUUAUUGACACGGGAUCGCCGUUUUCUAUCAUUCCGCAGGAGGUGUAUCUAAAGCACCAUCUGAGUUGGCCACGCUUAUCGAAAUGCAAACACACGCUCAACUGUUACUUGGGCAAGCUACCCAUUGUCGGUGAACUGCACCUUGAAGCCAAUUUUGCAGGGAAGACUGUACCUGCCACACUGAUAGUUACAGGCUGCUCGGUCCUAGCCUUUGCGGAAGGGACUUAAUCCAAGCGUUCUCGCUUUUGCCGUCGGGGUUUCUCGCUGCGGUUCAACCGACGUCAGCAGAUCCCGACAGCCUCAGGACCGAGUUUCCUGCCCUUUUUGAGCCAGGACUUGGAAACAUUCAGGGGCCACCUGUGAAAUUCCACAUUCGAGAAGGCGCCCAACCGAAGUUCCACAAGGCGCGGUCAAUUCCUUAUGCUCUUCGUGAAAAAGUGGAAACUGAGCUGGACCGUUUAGUACAGCAAGGCAUACUAUCGCCCAUAGCACAUUCUGAGUGGGCAGCGCCAAUCGUACCAGUACUGAAGAAAGACGGUUCCCUUCGCAUCUGCGGCGAUUUCAAAACCACAAUCAAUGCUGCGUGCAUAACUGAGCAGUACCCUUUACCAAACAUUGAAGACAUUUUCGCGUCGCUACGUGGGGGAUCAUUUUUCACCACACUGGACCUUAAGGAUGCAUAUAACCAACUCCCAUUGGAUGAGGAGGCGAGGAAGUUGGCCGUGAUAAACACUCACAAGGGGUUGUUUUGCUAUAACCGUCUUCCGUUUGGAGUUGCCUCGGCUCCCGCGAUUUUCCAGCGGCGCAUGGAAACGGUCCUGGCCGGUCUUCCAGCCGUGCAGGUGUAUUUGGACGAUGUAUUGAUAGCGGAACGUCAAGACGAUAAUGGCUCAGUGCUUCGGGACGUUUUGCGCAGGCUUCAAGAAAAUGGUAUCAAGCUUAAGGCCGAAAAAUGCCAUUUUCGCAAAGACUCAAUCGUCUACCUGGGCCAUCGCAUUGACAAAGACGGCUUGCAUCCGCUUGAAAAGAACCUAGCAGCAAUACGCGACUCGCCACGGCCUACGAAUGUGAGCGAACUGCGUUCUUUCUUGGGUCUGUUGACUUAUUAUCACCGGUUCUUGCCACACAUGUCAACGAUGCUGGCACCGUUGUAUCUCUUGCUUGAAAAAGAGCAUAAAUGGCACUGGGGAACGGCGCAGGAAAAUUCAUAUCUCAAGGCUAAACAAACACUUCUGAGUUCGCCUGUUCUGACGUAUUUCGAUCCCAACCAACCAGUGCGUUUGGAAUGCGAUGCGUCACCUUCGGGUUUAGGUGCCGUAAUUUCGCACCGAAUUGGACAAUUGGAUAAGCCCAUUGCUUUCCGUUCACGCACGUUAACAUACCCCGAAAAGAAUUAUUCUCAGCUCGAGAAGGAAGCGCUCGCACUGGUGUUCGGAGUAACAAAGUUUCGAGACUACCUGCUGGACCGCGAGUUUGUAUUGGUCACGGACCACCAACCACUGGUGGGACUUCUACGAGAAGAUCGACCUGUGCCCCCAAUGGCGUCGGCACGUAUUCAGAGAUGGGCUCUGUUUCUAAGCCAAUAUAGCUACCGCAUAGAGUACAAGGCCGGCAAGGAAAACGCCAACGCGGACGCACUCAGCCGCUUGCCCGUGCCGAUAACAGACGUUUGUCGAUCGGGAACCUUACCAGAAUACGUAUUGUCUACAGAGACCCUUGACAGCUUACAGCUUACAAAUUAUUCCUCGAAAUUUCACGGCAAUUCUGGGAAGACAAAUGUUCCUUCCAAAGCAAAUACCAUGGCAGAACGACAAACUAUAACCUCAGAAAAACUCUGAUAGGAAAACCACGUUGCAGAACGAAAUACGGAGAUCAAAAACUAGCAGUUCAACUACCUAACCUCCUAAACGACUAUUCCUUGGUAUUGGACCUGCUAAAUUCUGGAAUUUCAAAGCAAAGCUUUAAGAAAACGGUAAAAGAAUUGUUACUAUCCGAAGACUAAUAGAAAUGUUGAACUACAGGUAUAGAAAAUUUUGUUCAUGUUUCUUGUUGUUGUUUUUAGAAAACUGUGUAAACUUUAACCUUUCAGCUACAGGUAUGGAAAAUUUCGUACAUACAUUUUUUUUCCUGUCAUUGUUGUGCUUCAAUUGAUUAGAAAACUGUAUAAACUUUAACCUUUUUUUUUUCUCUUUCUUCUUACGCGAAUUGUGUACUCAAGUGUUGAAAAUGUGCACUACUUUAAUUUCAUGUGUGAUCUCCUGAAAGCCUGCCACUGCCAUGUUGCUGCCAAUGUACGGGUGGCACGGCCUAGUCAGGCAAAUGUAUUGCCUUUAGCCGUGUCCCCUAAGACAAUCUGUUCAUUGUCUUAAAUAAAUCAAUAAAGAAAGAAAGAAAGAAAGAAAGCUCGUUCGUGUCAGCGGAUGCCAUACGGGCGCUGACGAACGGAGAUGCAAACCUUAGCGUUGUGCAGCACUUUGUACUGAAUGGAUGGCCUAAACGCUUGUCACCUUGUCACAAUCACCUUCAACCUUAUUUUUGCAGAAGACUGGAGCUGUCAAGCGUAGAAGGCCUGCUCUACUGGGGUCAUCGCAUCGUCGUACCCCGCAAAGCGCGAGCCUCCAUGCUCGCUGAGCUACAUCGGUCACACCAGGGUGCAUCUGCGAUAAAGACUGGCUCGGACGCUGUUCUGGUGGCCGGGGUUGGAUGGUUCCUAUCUGUUGGCCAGAAACCGGAACCAAAUGGUCAAGGCUUCACAUUGAUUACGCCGGACCGAUAGAGGGACGCAUGCUGUUGAUAGUCGUCGACUCGCAUACUAAAUGGAUUGAGGCACUUCCCGUCAAGUCGGCGACCACAGAAGUCACAAUUGCGCGUCUUCGGGAACUGUUUGCGCGUUUUGGCUUGCCGCAAACAGUUGUAUCAGAUAAAGGACCUCAGUUUGCAAGCCAGCAGUUUUCCCAGUUCAUGACGGUCAACAACAUAACUCAUCUACGUAGUGCGCCGUACCACCCACAAUCUAAUGGUCUCGCAGAGCGUGCGGUCCGCACAAUAAAGGAUGGCUUUCUUAAGCACUCGAUGGUGAACGAUCUCGAAACAAAACUAGCGCGAGUGCUCCUAGGCUAUCGACGUACCCCGCUACCGUGCGGCAAGUCUCCUUCAGAGAUGCUGCUGAACUACCAAAUUCGUUCGCGCUUGGAUACUUGCAUCCCUUCUCUACCUCAAAGUUACUCGCAGCCUCCCAGAUUCCAGUCCGGCGACCAGGUGUGGGUGCGCAACUUUGGCCAAGGGGAGCGUUGGCGUCCAGGCAUCGUCAAGAGCAUAGAAGGUUCACGCCUUGUAAUGGUCGACACUCCAGAUGGCCUAGCCCGACGUCACUUCGACCAAAUUUUCCGUCGCGUGCCUGUGCCACACGUGACCCCAAAAGCGGAGGCGUCCGACUCGCUUCAACCCAGCCCGGACAACAAGCAUCGGCCCACGUCAACGCCAGAAGCCCGGUGCAGCCUGGCCACUCCAGAAGCAAGUGGCACUACGCCUGUUCCUUCGACAACACCUCCAACGUCCGUCCCAGCCGAACAGGCUCUCUCUCCCCCAAGUCCGCCGGUCUUACGGAGGUCUACCCGACAACGAAGACCCGUGCAAAGACUGCAGUUUUAAAGAAAGGGAGAAGUGAUAUGAAGUGCUGUGCCACACGUGUCAAACAUGAUUCGUUCUUUUUAUGUUACGUCAUAGGCAAGCAGCCUAUAUAUCUAGAUCGCUGUCGCUGAAAUAAAACAGUGCGGUACGUGCUCUUGGA